rnacentral:tRNA from 1 species
GACACUUUGGCCGAGUGGUUAAGGCGCAGGCCUGCUACUACGUCACCGUACUAGCUGAUUAGCCUGUGGGUUCGCCCGCCUGGGUUCGAGUCCCAGAGGUGUCG